GGAGCUGUGGUGUAGCGGCCCAACAUGCCGGCCUGUCACGCCGGAGACCGCGGGUUCGAAUCCCGUCAGCUCCGCCA
rnacentral:tRNA from 2 species